rnacentral:rRNA from 1 species
AUUGAACGCUGGCGGCAUGCCUUACACGUGCAAGUCGAACGGCAGCACGGGAGCAAUCCUGGUGGCGAGUGGCGAACGGGUGAGUAAUAUAUCGGAACGUGCCCAGUCGUGGGGGAUAACGUAGCGAAAGCUACGCUAAUACCGCAUACGAUCUAUGGAUGAAAGCGGGGGAUCGCAAGACCUCGCGCGAUUGGAGCGGCCGAUAUCAGAUUAGGUAGUUGGUGAGGUAAAGGCUCACCAAGCCGACGAUCUGUAGCUGGUCUGAGAGGACGACCAGCCACACUGGGAAUGGGACACGGCCCAGACUCCUACGGGAGGCAGCAGUGGGGAAUUUUGGACAAUGGGCGCAAGCCUGAUCCAGCAAUGCCGCGUGCAGGAUGAAGGCCUUCGGGUUGUAAACUGCUUUUGUACGGAACGAAACGGCGAGCUCUAAUACAGUUUGCUAAUGACGGUACCGUAAGAAUAAGCACCGGCUAACUACGUGCCAGCCGCCGCGGUAA